rnacentral:miRNA from 1 species
GUGCCAAAGGAGAAUUGCCCU